GUGCCAGCAGCCGCGGUAAUACGGGGGGUGCGAGCGUUGUCCGGAAUCACUGGGCGUAAAGGGCGCGUAGGUGGUCUGAUAAGGGUGUGGUGAAAGCCCGGGGCUCAACCCCGGGUCGGCCGUGCCGACUGUUGGACUAGAGUGCUGUAGGGGCAGGCGGAAUUCCGGGUGUAGCGGUGGAAUGCGUAGAGAUCCGGAGGAAGACCGGUGGCGAAGGCGGCCUGCUGGGCAGUUACUGACACUGAGGCGCGACAGCGUGGGGAGCAAACAGGAUUAGAUACCCCAGUAGUCC
rnacentral:rRNA from 1 species